rnacentral:rRNA from 1 species
GACGAACCGUGCGAACGUUGUUCGGAAUCACUGGGCGUAAAGCGUACGUAGGCGGUUCGUUAAGUCUGCUGUGAAAGCCCUGGGCUCAACCUGGGAACUGCAGUGGAUACUGGCGGACUAGAGUGUGAUAGAGGAUGGUGGAAUUCCCGGUGUAGCGGUGAAAUGCGUAGAGAUCGGGAGGAACACCAGUGGCGAAGGCGGCCAUCUGGAUCAACACUGACGCUGAGGCACGAAAGCGUGGGGAGCAAACAGG